GGUCAGGUUUGAGUUGAAGACUGGUGACAAGGUUGAGGCUCCAUGGUUGGUGCACAGAGCAGCUCGAUACCCUGGCCAUGUUGAGCGUGUUGAUGGAGAAUAUGUGCUAAUUGAAUUUAGUGACAUGACAAAGAAAAGAAUUCAUUUCAAGUAUAUUGAGAAGAAAACGUAAGUAAUCAGAUUAUUUCAACUCAUACAAUAUGAAUCCAUUCCCUCAACAUGUUACAUUACAAAGUAACUUGUGUAUUUAUUCAGAGGUUAGUUGUUAUUUUUUUGCGGUAUCCAGGAAUGCUCUUCUGUGCCAAAGUUUGCUUUAUGUACCAUGUAGAGGCGCAAUCGCGCGCCACCGGGGUUUCACCCAACUCAAAGUUGCUAAAUCUAACAAACUGCAGGCUACCAUAGUGUAAGUACUCAAGGCAUUGUUCG